ensembl:lncRNA
GUGUGUGUGUGUGAAAGUUGUGUAAUCUCUCUCUCUCUCGCUCUCGCUCUCUCUCUAUAUAUCUGUCUCUCUCUCUCUCGCGCUCUCUCUCUCUCUAUCUAUCUCUCUCACACGCUCUCCCUCUCUCUCUGUGUCUUUAUUGCUUUCUCCCUCCCUCUCCCUGUCUCUCUCACUCUCUCCUCUCUCUUUGUCCAUCUCUUUCUCCCUCCCCCUCUCUCUAUAUGUCUAUUGAUUUCUCUCUCUCUCUGUCUUUGUUUCUUUCUGCCUCCCCCUACAAUUCAACGAGCAUGACCAUAUACAUGUACUGUAUUGCUAAAGCAUGUGUGAGAGUCUGUGUGUGUGUGUGUGUGUGAGAGAGAGAGAGUCUGUGUGUGUGUGUCUGUAAUUGUAUCCUGUGUUGUGUUUCCUUGACAUCUGGAUCUUUUUUUGAUAAAGAACAGUGUUGGUUGAGUGUUGACUGCUGCAGCAGGUCCAGGUUCUGCUGUAGACCCUAUGGUACGGGGUCUCUAGGACCAACUCUGUAGCGCCACCACUAGUUCAAAAAUCCACUAUUGGAACGGUUAUAAUUGUCGAACACUUUGUCCCCGAGAAAAGAAACGUAGUUGAUCAGAUCAUUCUCCUCACGCUGAACACAGUCCGUGUGUUACGUGAAGACUCCGCCAUUUUGAGAUGUACAGCAUUGAGUUUCUUCGCUGCUCCUCCUUCAAAUUCUUACCAGAAUCGGUUCCGGUGAUGAGGGGACAGAGUCGCGCAGAAACGACUCGACACAGUCUUGAUGCUCGUAUCAGUUCAAAAGUACGGAUUUAACAGCGUUGACCCAAAACGGGGUCAGAGGCUGCAUCUCGGCCAGGCUUACGAGCAGUCAUAACACGGUGCGUUACACUUCAUCAGCACCGUGAUCCGAGGGGCCAUGCCAGAUUCGACAACAGCGCCACCUGUAGGUCAUGAGAUUUGUAAAAUGGAUGUUUUUAGCUUAUAACUUGUGAAUACUUUGACUGAAAAUCAGGAUCUCGGUGGAAUCGCUAUCCACGGAUUCGCCAUGAACCAGUGAAUGCGUAGAUAGCGAUUUUGCCAGGAUCGGACAAACCGCCUGUCGGCCAUUUUGAAAUUUGUCACGUAUUGUGAUAUCUUUUAAAACGUCUGACAAAUCGGCGCAAAAUUUCGCAGGGAUCAUUCCUAGCACGUACUCUAGGUACCUGAGAAAUUUGAACAUAGCGCCACCUAGUGUUCUAAAGAUAUACAUUUUUUUGUUACAAGCAUUGUUGACGAGCGUUACUUCUAAAGGUCCUGGGUUCGAUUCCCGUGUGGUGCAAGUGCUUAAACGUUUGUGUAAUGUUUUGUCUUUCGGUUCCUUUCUUUCGUGGCUCAGCAUUGCAGUAACCUUUCAACCUCUUGGCAUGUCUUGGCAUAAUAAAUGCCUCUGUUCUGUUCAUUUCCUGUUCCGUCUUCUUCUCAGCCGUGCUUCUGAACUUAUCUUUUAUUCAUUCGUUCGAUUAGGGUGUGUAGGGUGCACACACAUGUGCGCUGACUGUUGGAUUUGUUUGAAAGUUGCUGGUCAGUAACGGGGGACUCCAGGGGGUUCUGGGAGUCUUUUAUAGCCAAUUCUAAUGUCUUCGGUUUUUCAAUGAACGUAUUUUGUUUAUUUAUUUAUGUUCUUGUUAUCUGGUGUAUAAAGUGAUUUGAAGUGGUUCACCCAUACGACGCCAUAUUGUAUUGCCAAUUCAGAUUUAAUGUGUGUGUGUGUGUGUGUGUGUGUGUGUGGUGCAUGCGUGCGUGGGGGUUAGUUUCUGUCCUUGAGGGGUUAGUGGCUUGAGGGUGAAUGUGCCGACACAGAACGGGUGUAAAUCUGAUGUUUUUUGAUGUUAUUUAUAUAGUGUAGUCUACUGUGCUGUUACCAAGAGCUGAACAGAACCUUCCCAAAGUCUGUCCUACUGUUAACAACGUACUGACCCCGCCUCUCGCGCUUUAUUCCCGCUCCCGCUCUUUUUCCUUCUCUCUCGCUCUCUCUCUGUCUCUCUCUCUUUAUUCCUUAUCUCUCGCUCUCUCUCUCUCUUUCUCUCUCUCUCUUUCUGUGUCUCUCUCUUUAUUCCUUCUCUCCCGCUCUUUUCCUUCUCUCUCGCUCUCUCUGUCUCUCUCUUUAUUCCUUAUCUCUCGCUCUCUCUCUCUCUCUCUCUCUCUCUCUUUCUCUCUUUCUGUGUCUCUCUCUUUAUUCCUUCUCUCCCGCUCUUUUUCCUUCUCUCUCGCUCUCUCUGUCUCUCUCUCUUUAUUCCUUAUCUCUCGCUCUCUCUCUCUCUCUCUUUCUCUCUCUCU